AUGAUGAGAAAUAUGGAGUAUGUUCAGCUUUUUGCGGAAGCACUAAACUAUCUUCCAGAGUGCUUCGUGCAGUUAAUUAAACAAUCUGGGGGAGACCUGCGACAGCCUGGGGGGUCCCUGAAACUCUCAUGUGAGGGAUCUGGGUUCACCUUCAGUGAUCACUAUAUAAGUUGGAUUUGCCAGAUUCCAGGAAAGGGACUGGAGUGGGUUGGUUUCAUUAGAAACAAAGCUAAUGGUCACACAACUGAAUAUGCUGCUUCUGUGAAAGGCAGGUUCACUAUCUCAAGAGAUGAUUCCAAAAGCACUGCUUUUUUGAAAAUGAGCAGUCUGAAACCAGAGGACACAGCCUUAUAUUACUGUGCAAGAGACCCAGUAAGAGGAAGUCAGUGUAAACGAAAGGAAAAACUCCAUUCAGAGAGAGAAUGA